rnacentral:rRNA from 1 species
AUUGAACGCUGGCGGCAGGCCUAACACAUGCAAGUCGAACGAGUGGCGGACGGGUGAGUUAUGAAUGGGAAUCUACCUUAUGGAUGGGGAUAACUACGGGAAACUGUAGCUAAUACCGCGUACCAUAGGAUGAGCCCAAUUGGGAGUAGGUAGUUGGUGAGGUCACGGCUCACCAAGCUGACGAUCUCUAGCUGGUCUGAGAGGAUGACCAGGCACACUGGGACUGAGACACGGCCCAGACUCCUACGGGAGGCAGCAGUGGGGAAUAUUGCACAAUGGGGGAAACCUGACGCAGCCAUGCCGCGUGAAUGAAGAAGGCCUUCGGGUUGUAAAGUUCUUUCGGUAGCGAGGCGUUAACUACAGAAGAAGCACCGGCUAACUCCGUGCCAGCAGCCGCGGUAAUUC